GUGGAUGGAGAGAAAUGCCAAGUCACAUUAGUCGAUUAAAAAAUUUAUGAAAGUUGAGUAAUUUUAUUGUGGGCCAAAAAGGUGGAUUAAGAAUUGGUGAAUUAGGAGAGCUUUAAGAUAUUGGGGGAAGACUUGAAAUUUCAGAAAUGCAGAAUGUGGUGUGUGCUAGGGAUGCAUUGGGAGCGAACAUGAAGGAUAAGAGGCACCUUGAUGAACUAGCCUUGAAAUGGAGCGUCGUAGCUACUAAUGAUGUUAUACAAAGUGGCGUAUUCAACAACUUGCAGCCUCAUCCAAAUCUGAAGCAGCUUACCAUCGAAAGCUAUCCCGGUAUAACAUUUCCAGACUGGAUAGGAGAUCCUUUAUUCUCCAAUCUUGUGUCUGUAUAUCUUCAUUGGUGCGGCAAUUUCUCAUCAUUGCCAAUGUUUGGGCAGCUACCAUCUCUUAAACAUCUUUCUAUUUUAGGAAUGAUAGGAGUAGAGAAGGUGGGAAGUGAGUUUUAUGGGGAUGCUUCUUCCGCCAUUACAAGUAAGCCCUCAUUCCCAUUCCUACAAACUCUAAGAUUUGAGUGUAUGGACAACUGGGAGAAAUGGUUAUGUUGUGGAUGCGAAUUCCGUCGUCUCCAGGAGCUUUAUUUAAUCCGCUGUCCCAAACUCACAGGGAAAUUACCAGAAGAGCUUUCUUCAUUGAAGAAACUUGAAAUUGAUAGAUGUGAGCGGCUGCUUGUGGCUUCACUCCAAGUUCCUGCCAUCCGUGAAUUGAAGAUGUUGGAUUUUGGUGAAUUGCAGUUGAAAAGGCCAGCCUCCGGCUUCACUGCUCUUCAAACUUCACAUAUUGAAAUUUCAAAUGUGUCUCAGUGGAAGCAACUACCAUUGGAACCGCACAAGCUCAUGAUUACAGACCCUGAUGCUAUAGAGUCUCUACUAGAGGAGGGAAUCCUACAAACCCACACUUCUCCUAUGCAAGAUUUGGAAAUCUGGAGUUGUUGUUUUUCCAGAUCCUUGCACAAAGUUUGUUUACCCACUACAUUGAAAUCACUAAAAAUCUGUGACUCUGACAACCUAGGGUUUCUCCUACCUAAGUUGUUCAGAUGCCAUCACCCAUCUCUUGAAGAUCUGCAUAUCGUCAGUGGUCAAAACGAUUUAUCUCUCUCAUCAUCCUUCUCAUUAUCAUUUUCAUUAGCCAUCUUUCCCAGGUUGAUUCAUUUUGGUAUCGAUGCUCUUAACGGUCUUGAAUCCCUCUGCAUCUCGAUUUCAGAAGAGGAACCCACUUCUCUUCGUUCGUUGGAAAUCUUCAGGUGCGAUGAUCUUGAAUUUAUUGAAUUCCCCGCUCUCGACUCGGCAUGCUAUCGGAUCGUGGAAUGCUCGAAGCUCAAGUGGCUGGGACACACACUCUCAUCCUUGCAGAGAUUGAGCUUAGAAGAUUGUCCACAAUUGUUGUUUCACAAAGAUGGUUUGCCCUCCAACCUACGUCAACUUGAAAUUUGUGAAUGCAACCAACUCUCGCCCCAGGUGGACUGGGGUUUGCAGAGACUGGCCUCUCUUACAGAAUUCAAAAUCGGAGGUGGAUGCCAGGACGUGGAGUCAUUUCCCGAGGAGCUCCUGCUGCCCUCCACAAUAACUACUCUUGAAAUUGAACAUUUUCCAAGUCUCAAGUCUCUGGACAGUAGAGGGCUUCAACAGCUUACCUCGCUCAGAAAAUUAUCCAUCCGUCACUGUCCUCAGCUCCAAUUUAUUCCACAGGAGGGUUUUCAACAUUUUCCUUUUCUUUUGGAAUUGGAGAUGGAAGACUGCCCUAAGCUCCAAUCUUUGAAAGAAGCUGGUCUUCCAAGCCUUGCCUCUCUUAAGCAACUAUACAUCAGGGGAUUACCUGAGCUCCAAUCCUUGAUAGAUGUGGGUCUUCAACACCUCACCUCUCUUGAAAAAUUAUUCAUCUCCGACUGUCCUAAGCUUCAAUCCUUGACAAGAGAGAGACUUCCAGAUUCCCUCUCUUUUCUGGACAUCCAGGAUUGUCCUUUGUUGGAACAACGGUGCCAAUUUGAAGAAGGGCAAGAGUGGGAUUAUAUAGCUCACAUUCCACAAAUAUUCAUCUGUGAUGAGGUAUUGUAACAAAGGUUUAGGCAGAUUCUUUGAAACCAGAGACCUGGAACAAUGAUUUGAAGAGGAGCAGGGGAAGAUUGAUCCCAGGUAGUUUACAUUUCUUGCAUACAACCAAUUCUCAUAUAUCCAAAAAUUGUUCAUCUUUCAUGUCGACGUUUCUCACAUUCUCUGCUUGUAAAGGAACAGAGGAAACCAGGCACAUAUUCUAGUUAACUGCUUGUAAGUAAGUAAUUUUACUUGCUUUGGUUUUUCCUUGCUGCUAUUCUCUCUUCCAGUGUUAGAAAGUGGAGAUUUAAGUCUGCAAGAUUUUUUAUUCCAGUGUUGCAAAACAUAUGUUUGGUAUCAAAAUUACUUAAAUUCUUUCUCUUUUUGCGUUCAGAGUCUCAUAAUCAACUCAACUCUUUUGAAGAAUAUUGGUGGAGAUGGAUGGGUUUGUGCCGCAAGCUUUAUUUGUUUGAUUUAAGAAUUUUUCCAACGAAGAUAAGAAGAGUAAAGAAAAAUUGAUCCUAGGGUGUCCUAAUCUUGUGUAUAUUCUUGGAGACUAGGGUGCACAACAUGCUCUGUUUGUUUGAUUUAAAAGUUUUUCCUUAAGCUAGUUGUAACAGGAAUAUGAAAAGGAGCAAGGGAAGAUUAACCACAGAGGCACAGAGGAAAUCAAUAAGAUCUCAAAUUGCAAGAAUUUCAGGUCACUGAUGCAUGUUUUGGUACCUUACUGAGUAUCACAAACUAUUCAUGGCUGAUGUCCCACAUGUAGUAAGAGACGAUCUGGCUUUCUAAUGACGAGGAUUGCACACCAAUUUACAGUCUUCUUUUCUCCAAAUAGCAUUUGAUGUAUGAGUUAGAUUUAUUGUAACUAGUGAAACACAUGAUUGAAAAUUUGUAAUUACUGUGGUAAUUUUUAUUUUUGUUUUUUAAUUAUUUCAGGUUGGUAUAUUGUUUGAGCAGCUCUACAGAUUUGGUUUCUUGAUUAGCAUGAUUGGGUUUGUUUUCCCACGGGCUAAUGCAUUGGGAACCACUUUUGAUUAUCAGUUUCUAAGGGGCUUUGUGUUUCAGGUAUGCAACAACAAAGACACAUACCACCUUCUGCCUCCCAAUACCCUUCACAAGAUUGGUGCAAAACAUGCUCUGUUUCUUUGGUUUAAGAUUUAUUCCGAGGGUAGGAGUCUGGAACAAAAAUAGAAGAAUGGGGGGAGAUUGACUUAGGGUAGCUACUGCUUUAAGCAUACACAACAAGCAAGACAAAUAGUUUUGAUGAAUGUCAUUCUCUUUUACAUUCUGACUAGCCUUUGAUCCAAGAACCCCUUCAGAUCUUGAUUCUCCGUUCAAGGGACUGCAAAACCUUAGUUCUCUUCAAGAAUUGAAUGUCAUUUUCUCAUACUUUUGAUGGAGAAGGAACUUUCCUUGUUUGUUGAUUUUAAGACUUUGAAACUUUGAAACUCCAAACCAGGAACAAAUAUAUGAUCUUAUGAAAUAUGUUUUUUUGCAGAUACCUUUUACAUUCACCACCUUUAUAAAUCCUACUUAUUCAAAGUGACUGGGAAUUUUUGACGAAAUGGAGAUUUCUGACUGUCAGCUUCUGUUCUUCUCUGCAAGAACACUUCCAAUUCAGGAAAGGGAGAGACGGCCAUUAUAUAGCUCACAUUCGACACAAGGAGAUAGGCCUAGUGCUGCUCUAAUGAAGGUGGUGGUACAUCGAUAUAUAACCAGGUAUUUGUUCUAUGCUCAAAAUAAAUUUCUUCCAAAAAUAUUUGUUUCACUUAAAGAUUUUUCUCUUAACCCAACAAACUUUGUCCAAGAUAAUUCAUAUUUCAAUACAGCCAGCUUUCGUAUCUCUGUUUUUAUUUAGCAGAUUGCACUCGCUGGGAGUUCCUGUAGCAAAAGGUUGUGGUAACGCUUUAUUCUACUACCUAAAAAAGUGGACCACUUACCAAAGGCAGGGGGAUAAAAUUCUAACAUCUUUGUUCUAUAGUUGCCACUCAUUUCUUUCCAAAUUUUGAUGUCAUUUUGUUAUUGUUUUCGUUCUGGUGUUUGUUAGGUCUUGAUUGUUGGGGGAGUAUGUGAAGAUGUUCUAUUGUGUUGGGGUUACGGUCUUAGAAUUGAGAACCUUCUUGUGCUUCUAUCGGUGACCAUGGGCAUUGGUUCUCAUUGUUUGUAUGGACAAGAGUCAAUUGUAUAUCUGUAGAGAAAUAAUGUCUAAAGUUUUAAUGAAGGUUUACUCCAUGAGACUUGCAAGAAGAAUAUUGUAAUUAAAUUGAUCAACCUAUGAGACUUUUGGUAGUUCUGUUUGCUAUUUUGA